rnacentral:tRNA from 2 species
GAGCCUGGUAGCGCAGCGGUUGACGCGCCCCGCCCUGGCGGGGAGGACGCCGGUUCGAAUCCGGUCCGGCUCG